rnacentral:rRNA from 1 species
ACAUGCAGUCGGACGGGAUUUAGGAGCUUGCUUCUCAUGAGAGUGGCGCACGGGUGCGUAACACGUAUGUAACCUACCUUGUUCAGGGGGAUAGCCUCUCGAAAGAGAGAUUAACACCGCAUAAAAUCAAUUUAUGGCAUCAUAGAAUGAUCAAAUAUUUAUAGGAACAAGAUGGGCAUGCGGAACAUUAGCUAGUUGGUAAGGUAACGGCUUACCAAGGCUACGAUGUUUAGGGGAUCUGAGAGGAUGACCCCCCACACUGGUACUGAGACACGGACCAGACUCCUACGGGAGGCAGCAGUAAGGAAUAUUGGUCAAUGGACGCAAGUCUGAACCAGCCAUGCCGCGUGCAGGAAGACGGCCCUACGGGUUGUAAACUGCUUUUGUACCGGAAUAAACCUUUUCACGUGUGAGAAGCUGAAUGUACGGUAAGAAUAAGGAUCGGCUAACUCCGUGCCAGCAGCCGCGGUAAUACGGAGGAUCCAAGCGUUAUCCGGAUUUAUUGGGUUUAAAGGGUGCGUAGGUGGCCUAUUAAGUCAGGGGUGAAAGACGGUAGCUUAACUAUCGCAGUGCCUUUGAUACUGAUGGGCUUGAAUACACUUGAGGUAGGCGGAAUGUGACAAGUAGCGGUGAAAUGCAUAGAUAUGUCACAGAACACCAAUUGCGAAGGCAGCUUACUAAAGUGUUAUUGACACUGAGGCACGAAAGCGUGGGGAUCAAACAGGAUUAGAUACCCUGGUAGUCCACGCCCUAAACGAUGAAUACUCGAUGUUGGCGAUAUACGGUCAGCGUCUAAGCGAAAGCGUUAAGUAUUCCACCUGGGGAGUACGCCCGCAAGGGUGAAACUCAAAGGAAUUGACGGGGGCCCGCACAAGCGGA